rnacentral:tRNA from 1 species
UGAGGUGUAGCUCAGUGGAAUAGCACUUGCCUGGCAUGCACAGGGAUCUGGGUUUGAUCCCCAACACAGCAA